AACGAUGGCUAAUACCGCAUAAUACCUUCGGGUCAAAGAGGGGGACCUUCGGGCCUCUCGCGUCAGGAUAUGCCUAGGUGGGAUUAGCUAGUUGGUGAGGUAAUGGCUCACCAAGGCGACGAUCCCUAGCUGGUCUGAGAGGAUGAUCAGCCACACUGGAACUGAGACACGGUCCAGACUCCUACGGGAGGCAGCAGUGGGGAAUAUUGCACAAUGGGCGCAAGCCUGAUGCAGCCAUGCCGCGUGUGUGAAGAAGGCCUUCGGGUUGUAAAGCACUUUCAGUCGUGAGGAAGGUAGUGUAGUUAAUAGCUGCAUUAUUUGACGUUAGCGACAGAAGAAGCACCGGCUAACUCCGUGCCAGCAGCCGCGGUAAUACGGAGGGUGCGAGCGUUAAUCGGAAUUACUGGGCGUAAAGCGCAUGCAGGUGGUUUGUUAAGUCAGAUGUGAAAGCCCGGGGCUCAACCUCGGAAUAGCAUUUGAAACUGGCAGACUAGAGUACUGUAGAGGGGGGUAGAAUUUCAGGUGUAGCGGUGAAAUGCGUAGAGAUCUGAAGGAAUACCGGUGGCGAAGGCGGCCCCCUGGACAGAUACUGACACUCAGAUGCGAAAGCGUGGGGAGCAAACAGGAUUAGAUACCCUGGUAGUCCACGCCGUAAACGAUGUCUACUUGGAGGUUGUGGCCUUGAGCCGUGGCUUUCGGAGCUAACGCGUUAAGUAGACCGCCUGGGGAGUACGGUCGCAAGAUUAAAACUCAAAUGAAUUGACGGGGGCCCGCACAAGCGGUGGAGCAUGUGGUUUAAUUCGAUGCAACGCGAAGAACCUUACCUACUCUUGACAUCCAGAGAACUUUCCAGAGAUGGAUUGGUGCCUUCGGGAACUCUGAGACAGGUGCUGCAUGGCUGUCGUCAGCUCGUGUUGUGAAAUGUUGGGUUAAGUCCCGCAACGAGCGCAACCCUUAUCCUUGUUUGCCAGCACUUCGGGUGGGAACUCCAGGGAGACUGCCGGUGAUAAACCGGAGGAAGGUGGGGACGACGUCAAGUCAUCAUGGCCCUUACGAGUAGGGCUACACACGUGCUACAAUGGCGCAUACAGAGGGCGGCCAACUUGCGAGAGUGAGCGAAUCCCAAAAAGUGCGUCGUAGUCCGGAUCGGAGUCUGCA
rnacentral:rRNA from 1 species